rnacentral:rRNA from 1 species
GACGUAGGGCGCGAGCGUUGUCCGGAUUUAUUGGGCGUAAAGAGCUCGUAGGCGGCUUGUCGCGUCGACUGUGAAAUCCCGCGGCUCAACUGCGGGUCUGCAGUCGAUACGGGCAGGCUAGAGUUCGGUAGGGGGAGACUGGAAUUCCUGGUGUAGCGGUGAAAUGCGCAGAUAUCAGGAGGGAAACACCGGGUGGGCGAAAGGCGGGGUCUCUGGGGCCCGAUACUGACGCUGAGGGAGCGA